rnacentral:rRNA from 1 species
AUUGACGGAGAGUUUGAUCCUGGCUCAGGACGAACGCUGGCGGCGUGCCUAACACAUGCAAGUCGAACGAGGUCGCCUUCGGGCAAUGACCAAGUGGCGAACGGGUGCGUAACACGUGAGAAACCUGCCCCGAAGACUGGGACAACCACGGGAAACUGUGGCUAAUACCAGAUGCCCUCCGCUGAUCGCAUGAUCGGCAGAGGAAAUGCUCCGGCGCUUCGGGAGGGUCUCGCGGCCUAUCAGCUUGUUGGUGAGGUAACGGCUCACCAAGGCAUCGACGGGUAGCUGGUCUGAGAGGACGAUCAGCCACACUGGGACUGAGACACGGCCCAGACUCCUGCGGGAGGCAGCAGUGGGGAAUCUUGCGCAAUGGGCGAAAGCCUGACGCAGCAACGCCGCGUGGGGGAUGAAGGCUCUCGGGUUGUAAACCCCUUUCAGCAGGGACGAAAUUGACGGUACCUGCAGAAGAAGCCCCGGCCAACUACGUGCCAGCAGCCGCGGUGACACGUAGGGGGCGAGCGUUGUCCGGAAUUAUUGGGCGUAAAGAGCUCGUAGGCGGUUUAGUAAGUCAGAUGUGAAAGGUUGGGGCUCAACCCUAAGACUGCAUCCGAUACUGCUAUGACUAGAGUCCGGUAGAGGAGUGUGGAAUUCCUGGUGUAGCGGUGAAAUGCGCAGAUAUCAGGAGGAACACCGACGGCGAAGGCAGCACUCUGGGCCGGUACUGACGCUCAGGAGCGAAAGCGUGGGUAGCAAACAGGAUUAGAUACCCUGGUAGUCCACGCCGUAAACGUUGGGCACUAGGUGUGGGGCCUUAUCAACGGGUUCCGUGCCGUAGCUAACGCAUUAAGUGCCCCGCCUGGGGAGUACGGCCGCAAGGCUAAAACUCAAAGGAAUUGACGGGGGCCCGCACAAGCGGCGGAGCAUGUUGCUUAAUUCGAGGCAACGCGAAGAACCUUACCUGGGUUUGACAUGUUGGGGACAGCCGCAGAGAUGCGGCCUCCUUAUGGUCCCAUCACAGGUGGUGCAUGGCUGUCGUCAGCUCGUGUCGUGAGAUGUUGGGUUAAGUCCCGCAACGAGCGCAACCCUCGUCCUAUGUUGCCAGCACGUAAUGGUGGGGACUCGUAGGAGACCGCCGGGGUCAACUCGGAGGAAGGUGGGGACGACGUCAAGUCAUCAUGCCCCUUAUGCCCAGGGCUGCAAACAUGCUACAAUGGCCGGUACAAAGGGCUGCUACACCGCGAGGUUGAGCGAAUCCCACAAAGCCGGUCUCAGUUCGGAUUGGAGUCUGCAACUCGACUCCAUGAAGUCGGAGUCGCUAGUAAUCCCGGAUCAGCAACGCCGGGGUGAAUACGUUCCCGGGCCUUGUACACACCGCCCGUCACACCACGAAAGUCGGCAACACCCGAAGUCAGUGGCCUAACCCUUAGGGGAGGGAGCUGCCGAAGGUGGGGUUGGCGAUUGGGGUGAAGUCGUAACAAGGUAGCCGUACCGGAAGGUGCGGCUGGAUCACCUCCUUUCUAAGGAG